UGGGCUUGACAUGUCCGGAACCCUGCAGAGAUGCGGGAGUGCCCUUCGGGGAAUCGGAACAC
rnacentral:rRNA from 1 species